AUUCCGUGAUGAAGACACUUCCAUAGAAAGUCCUUGAAUCUCUCUCAUGCAUCCGAAAUCGCUUCAUCCUCAUCUUAAUGAAACGUCAUAAUUUCAUUUCUAAUUUU